rnacentral:rRNA from 1 species
GAUCCGCCCCAGACUCCUACGGAGGCCAGCAGUGGGGAAUAUUGGGCAAUGACGCCAGUCUGACCUCAGCAACGCCGCGGAAAGAAAGAAGGCUUUCGGGUUGUAAAUUCUUUUAAGGGGGAAGAGCAGAAGACGGUACCCUGAAUAAGCCACGGCUAACUCGUGCCAGCAGCCGCGGUAAUACGUAGGUGGCAAGCGUGUCUGGAUUUUCUGGGUGUAAAGGGCGUGCAGCCGGAGAGACAAGUCAGAUGUGAAAUCCACGGGCUCAACCCGUGAACUGCAUUUAAACUGUUUCCCUUGAGUGUCGGAGAGGUAAUCGGAAUUCCUUGUGUAGCGGUGAAAUGCGUAGAUAUAAGGAAGAACACCAGUGGCGAAGGCGGAUUACUGGACGAUAACUGACGGUGAGGCGCGAAAGCGUGGGGAGCAAACAGGAUUAGAUACCCUGGUAGUCCACGCUGUAAACGAUCGAUACUAGGUGUGCGGGGACUGACCCCCUGCGUGCCGGAGUUAACACAAUAAGUAUCGCACCUGGGGAGUACGAUCGCAAGGUUGAAACUCAAAGGAAUUGACGGGGGCCCGCACAAGCGGUGGAUUAUGUGGUUUAAUUCGAAGCAACGCGAAGAACCUUACCAGGGCUUGACAUCCUGCUAACGAAGUAGAGAUACAUUAGGUGCCCUUCGGGGAAAGCAGAGACAGGUGGUGCAUGGUUGUCGUCAGCUCGUGUCGUGAGAUGUUGGGUUAAGUCCCGCAACGAGCGCAACCCCUAUUGUUAGUUGCUACGCAAGAGCACUCUAGCGAGACUGCCGUUGACAAAACGGAGGAAGGCGGGGACGACGUCAAAUCAUCAUGCCCCUUAUGUCCUGGGCUACACACGUAAUACAAUGGCGGUUAACAAAGGGAUGCAAAGCCGCGAGGCAGAGCGAACCCCAAAAAGCCGUCCCAGUUCGGAUCGCAGGCUGCAACCCGCCUGCGUGAAGUCGGAUUCUGUGUAAUCGCGGAUCAGCAUGCCGCGGUGAAUACGUUGCCCCCCUUGUACACACCGCCCG